GUACCAGACUCCUACGGGAGGCAGCAGUGAGGAAUAUUGGUCAAUGGGCGCGAGCCUGAACCAGCCAAGUCGCGUGAGGGACGACGGCCCUACGGGUUGUAAACCUCUUUUGCCGGGGGACAAACGGCGGCACGCGUGCCGUCCUGAGGGUACCCGGAGAAAAAGCAUCGGCUGACUCCGUGCCAGCAGCCGCGGUAAUACGGAGGAUGCGAGCGUUAUCCGGAUUUAUUGGGUUUAAAGGGUGCGUAGGCGGGAUGCCAAGUCGGCGGUCAAAUGCGGGGGCUCAACCUGCGUCCGCCGUUGAAACUGGCGUUCUUGAGUGGGCGAGAAGUACGCGGAAUGCGUGGUGUAGCGGUGAAAUGCAUAGAUAUCACGCAGAACUCCGAUUGCGAAGGCAGCAUACCGGCGCUCAACUGACGCUCAUGCACGAAAGUGUGGGUAUCGAACAGGAUUAGAUACCCGAGUA
rnacentral:rRNA from 1 species